rnacentral:lncRNA from 1 species
UUACCAAAUUUUGUAUAGUUUUCAGAUGUGCGUUUAUCCACAUGAUUCUCCAUGGCUCCUCAACGUUAUCUGGGAGAGGCGUAUAAAUAUAAUAUGCUAUGAGGAUCCCCACAAUCAGAAAUACUUUGAUGUAAAAGUUUUCAAAGAAAUGCUUUGGGCAGAAGAGACUCAUGGAAACUGGUAUGUCAUACUCAGGUUUUGUGUUAGAAACAUCACUGCAUUGUUAAGUGAUGACUUUACUAUCUGAAUUUAGAGAAAAUGAUAGAAUCACUCCAUUUACUGCUCCAAUUUACAUUCCCAAUCUACAUCAAUACCCAUCAGCACCUAUUUUUCUUCUGUCACAAAUGAAGAUAUGCCCCUCCUCCUGUGUUUUGCCAAUUCUUCCCAUCUGCAUUGAAUCCAAUUUGCUUCCACAUUCUCUAGGUCAGAUAAACCCCCAUCCCUUCCUCUAGCUACCACUCCCCACGUUUCUCCAAUGUACCUCAAUUUACCACCAUCUUA